AGCCCCCAGUCUUGCCAAAGAAGCCCCACGGGAAGAUCUUCCAGGAAGACCAGAAGGAACAUCAUUCCAUCCAGAAGGAUCUCCGCCCAGGAUUUUUGCACCAGAUGGCAAAUGUGGAAGAGACGGAAGUGAAGAGACAGCAGUCCUUUCUCCCGAAGAUGCCCAUGAGCACAGAAGAGUGGAGCCCGGCAAAAAUCAUCCCCCUGCCCCAAGCAGGUCCACGCCCUCCUCCCGCAACAACCCUCUCACCUUCCCCUCCUCCCCGGCCAGUGCCCCGGCCUUACCGGUUCCCAGCCUUGAAUUUCCCCGUGGAAGCCCCCGUCAAGUGGCCAGGGCCACCCGUCCAACCUCAGCGGCCAAGCAGGCAGAGGCGCCCCUUGUGGGAACUGGCCCCACAACAAGCGGCCCAAGCCAAAAAGCUGAGGGACAGUGGGAGGAGAGGGAGCAAUACCCAUCGCCCCUUCAAAAGAAACCCUAAAGGAAUGAAAUCUCUUUUAAGGAAAAAAUGUCAUUUUUUUCUCCUUUCUUAUACCUACUUAGAACAAAUUAGGAUGGAAUGAGAGGGAGUCCAGCUGGCUGACCUAAAAUGCAUAUGUUCCAUUAGCCUCUUGGCUUGAGUAAAAUAGAAGAAUUCUUACAUCUGGGCCUAAUGCUGAACCUCGAUGCAGACCGAGACCGGGAGAAUGCUGCAUGUUGGUGGCCAGUCUGGGGUCGUCCUGGUUGCCGUUCAAGGGGUUCCCAGAAAUGGAUUGAGGAGAACUUACUUGGUUCUUUUUUCUUCUGGUUUUGUCAGCAUGUCUCUUUCUUUAAUAAAUUGAUUUCUGAAAUUGCU
rnacentral:lncRNA from 11 species